GUAGCAACAUAAUCUGAUAUUAUUGCGACUUAGGCUUAUUGCGGAAAGAUUGCGUUAUGUGCGAUGAAAAAGUACGUUAAAAAAUAUUUUGUUUGUUUUCAUAUGUAAUAUUGCGUUCCGCAUGUCGAAUCGAUUACAAUAUAUUUUCUACGAUUCCACUGGAGAAUGCAGAAGUAUAUUCUUAUAUAAUUUUUCUUCAACUUCAUUUUUUUUAAUAGUGUUAGAUAAAACUCAAUAUCAAACUAAACCUUAUAAAUUGUUUGGAAAUAGAAAAUUGAAAAGCGAGAAAAUUCUAAGUUUCGCCAACCCCCACCAAAGUUGAAAGAUUAAUCUCUAUAGGAGUGGGAGUUCGAAUGAUCUUAUAACUUCAAUAUUGUAACAAGAGUCAAUAUCAACAUUUUUUUUUUUCAAAAUUCUGAAUUCAACCAUCAAGAUUCAAAAGACAAAUAAGUUGUUAUUUGUUAUAUUUUUUUAUGUUGUAGUCUCUUAUUUCUGAACGGUCAAGUUUUAAUAUGAAUAAUAUAUAAACA
rnacentral:lncRNA from 1 species